CAGCCGCCGCGGUAAUACGAACCGUGCGAACGUUAUUCGGAAUUACUGGGCUUAAAGCGCGCGUAGGCGACUCGGCACGUCGGACGUUGAAAGCCCCCGGCUCAACCGGGGAAGUGGCGCCGAUACGGCCGAGCUGGAGGGAGGUAGGGGGGUCUGGAACUUCCGGUGGAGCGGUGAAAUUCGUAGAUAUUCGGAAGAACACCAGUGGCGAAGGCGACACACUGGCUCAUUACUGACGCUGAGGCGCGAAAGCGUGGGGAGCAAACAGGAUUAGAUACCCCCGUAGUCCCUGUCUCUUAUA
rnacentral:rRNA from 1 species